UAUUUCAUCUAACUCUACUGGUGAGAGCAUCUUGUCCACAUUGGUGGGGUUAGUGAAAAAUGAGUGUCUUUUAGGUGGGCGUAUUUAAGGGGUCGCAGCAGUCCCUGAUGUCUUGGUGGUGAUGGCAGUGGUGCAAAUGGAAGAGCUUCAACGGAAGGCAAAUCCUAAGCAGGAAAGAGUAAGACUGCGAGGUUCAUUCACUCUUUCCCACGUGGGAAGUCUCCUGUUAUUGCCAACAUUAAAAGACGGAGGUUUUAUUAUAUUAAGGGAAUUAUGGCUAGAUGCGAAUUAAUACUAUUUCUUUAUAUAGGAAUGCUCAUUAAUACACAAAAAGACUACAUUUCCCAGCAGUUAGUUUGAGACCAUGUGACUGAUAACAGCCCAGAGGGCAUGGGAAAAGUAAUAUGGGCCACUUUGAAACCUGUUUCAUGAAAGCUGUGAGAAUCUCAGCUCACUCUCUCAUGCCCUAUCCAUGUACAUGGUAAAGAGAUGACAAUCAGCCCAGUGCCCUGGGUGCUGCACAGAGACAAACGGCUUAGGAGAGUUGCCCGACUACGCUGGACUGAGACAUGAAUGAGAGUUAAAUUUCUGGGGCCAAGGCUGAUGUAAAGAAGUAUGAUUAGUUGGCCUAUUAGAGUUCUUCAAGAAACAGAACCAGUCUCAGUCAUUUAUUUCUAUAACCCCUUGGGAAAAAACAGUAAUGAGGCCUGUUACAUCUGCAUUGAUAGGGUAAAAACCUGUUAUAAGAUGGCCGACAGGAUUCAUAGGGAAAUUCUAGCCCCGACCAAAGACUCCUCUUCCAGGUUCUUCUUCCUACCCUGCUUGCCAUGCGUGUGCCAAAUUACUACUAAUAUGGAAUGUGGAAGUAACGGACUAUAAAUUGUUCCCUCUACUUAUGCUCAGGACUCAGAUCUCUGAAGACUGAUUUCCUCUGAGCCCACCAGUGUGAAAUAAACUUCCUGCCUCCCAA